AUCAAUUCAACCAAAACAAAUGUCCCUAAUCAAAUAGGAAGCUUUGCUUUCAGCAAAGUGGUUUCGGGAAUGUGAACACAUGAUUUGCACCAUCAAUCAUAGAACCCGUCUAUCAACCCAACAUUCUCUCUGCAGACGGCCUCAAAAACCUGCUUCUUCAAAGGAAGAUGAACAGCAGUCAUUACAUGCCAAGUAACUCAGGCUGCAUUACACUCAGGUUGGAAAAGGAGCAUGUUCCGGCAGAUGAAAUGUUACCAGCCAGCUUCCUGCCCCUGAUGGCAUCCCAUGUCUUCCCAGCCAUGACGAUUCUGUACAUCUAGAAACCUGAGCUAAAAUGAAUCCUUUUCUUGCUUAAGACACUUUGGUCGUGAUAUUUUAUCACAGCAACAGAAAAAUAUCUUCCAAGUUCUGAGUAGAACCCACCUGUCACCCAAGAGGAAGACCAAUGAGAUAAUGGGCCCAAUGCACUCAGUACCAGCCCAGCAUACAUGGAGCCAAGUCUAGUGUAGUUGGAAAUCUGCAUCAGGAGCUUUUGUGAGUCUGUAGACUGCCUACUAUUUAAAGGGUCUUAGUGCAUCUGUCAUUUGUUGGGGAUUUAGCUCAGUGGUAGAGCAUUUGCCUAGCAAGUGCAA